GGCUACUGCUAUUGGGAUUCGACUAAGCCAUGCGAGUCAAGGUGUCUUCGGACGCCGGCGUACGGCUCAGUAACACGUAGGUAACCUACCCUCAGGACUGAGAUAACCCCGGGAAACUGGGGCUAAUAUUAGAUAGAUAAAAGGUACUGGAAUGUUCUUUUAUCCAAAGCUUUUGCGCCUGAGGAUGGGCCUGCGUCCGAUUGGGUUGU
rnacentral:rRNA from 1 species